rnacentral:rRNA from 1 species
GUGGGUAGCGGUGAAAUUCCAAUCGAGCCCGGAGAUAGCUGGUUCUCCCCGAAAUAGCUUUAGGGCUAGCCUCAAGGUGAGAGAUACGGAGGUAGAGCACUGAAUGUCCUAGGGGGUAUUGCACCUACCGAAGACUAUCAAACUCCGAAUGCCGUCAUCUUAUACUUGGGAGUCAGACUGUGGGUGAUAAGAUUCAUAGUCGAAAGGGCAACAGCCCAGAUCGUCAGCUAAGGUCCCUAAAUGUAAGUUAAGUGGUAAAGGAUGUAGGAUUGCAAAGACAACCAGGAUGUAGAAUUAGAAGAAGCCACUCAUUCAAAGAGUGCGUAAUAGCUCACUGGUCGAGUGAUCCUGCGCCGAAGAUUUCCGGGGCUAAAACUUACUACCGAAGCUACGGCAUCAGUAAUGAUGGGUAGGGGAGCUUCCCAUACGGGUUGAAGCAUGACCGUAAGGACAUGUGGACAGUAUGGGAGUGAGAAUGUUGGCAUGAGUAGCGAGAUGUGGGUGAGAAUCCCACAGGCCGUAAACCCAAGGUUUCCAGGGGAAGGGUCGUCCGCCCUGGGUUAGUCGGGACCUAAGCUGAGGCCGAAAGGCGUAGGUGAUGGACAACAGGUUGAUAUUCCUGUACUACCGAUAACCGUUUGAGAGAGGGGAUGACACAGUAGGAUAAGCUAAGCACACUGUUGGUUAUGUGUGCCCAAGCAUUGAGGCAGUCAAAGUAGGCAAAUCCGCUUUGAUAAUGCUGGGAUGUGAUGGGGAGCGAAAUUUAGUAGCGAAGUAGCUGAUUUCACACUGUCAAGAAAAGUCUCUAUCGAGGUUAAAGGUACCCGUACCGCAAACCGACACAGGUGGGUGAGGAGAGUAUCCUAAGGCCAGCGAGAGAACUGUUGUUAAGGAACUCGGCAAAAUGACCCCGUAACUUAGGGAUAAGGGGUGCCACCAUCAGGUGGCCGCAGAGAAUAGGCCCAAGCGACUGUUUACCAAAAACAUAGGUUUCUGCUAAGUCGCAAGACGAUGUAUAGG